UCGUCUGCCUGCUGAGGGCAAAUCAGAUGGACAUGCGUGUCCACGCCGCCAGCCGUCACGAUUUGUCCUGAGGCAUCAAUCAUGUCUGUAUUAGACCCAAUGAUCAUCCCUGGGCUUAUUCCCAUGGUAGCCGGAUUGCCUGCUUUCCCAAUAGCCACGAUCUUGCCGUCCUUGAUGCCGAUGUCUGCUUUGUAGAUUCCAGUCCAGUCGAUCACCACUGCAUUCACGAUAGCGAGAUCGAGGCAUUCUGCAUUAGAACAUCCACUCGCCUGUCCGA
rnacentral:sRNA from 1 species